GACAGUGUGGUGCAGUGGUUUGAAUAUUGAACUGCAACUUUAGAAACCAGGGUUCAAUUCCCUGCUUGGCCA